rnacentral:tRNA from 1 species
UGUAUAUUGGUGUAUGAUGCACUUAAAGUUUUGAUCUUUAUAGUUAUGGUUUAAAUCCAUAAUAUACAA